AACGAACGCUGGCGGCAUGCCUAACACAUGCAAGUCGAACGAGACCUUCGGGUCUAGUGGCGCACGGGUGCGUAACGCGUGGGAACCUGCCCUUAGGUUCGGAAUAACUCCCCGAAAGGGGUGCUAAUACCGGAUAAUGUCUUCGGACCAAAGAUUUAUCGCCUUUGGAUGGGCCGCGUUGGAUUAGCUAGUUGGUAGGGUAAAAGCCUACCAAGGCGACGAUCCAUAGCUGGUCUGAGAGGAUGAUCAGCCACACUGGGACUGAGACACGGCCCAGACUCGGAGGGGGGGAGGGGGGGGGAAAUAUGGAAAAAGGGGCGAAGGCUGGACCAAGCAGUGCCGGGGGAGGAAUAAGGUCUUGGGGGUUGAAAAGCUUUUUUACCGGGAAUGAAAAUGACAGGCCGGAAAAAAAAGCCCCGGACACACCCCGUC
rnacentral:rRNA from 1 species